GAUGAACGCUGGCGGCGUGCCUAAUACAUGCAAGUCGAGCGAACGGACGAGAAGCUUGUUUCUCUGCUGUUAGCGGCGGACGGGUGAGUAACACGUGGAUCACCUACCUAUUAGACUGGGAUAACUUCGGGAAACCGGAGCUAAUACCGGCUAAUAUUUUGUACCGCAUGGUUCAAAAGUGAAAGACGGUCUUGCUGUCACUUAUAGAUGGAUCCGCGCUGCAUUAGCUAGUUGGUAAGGUAACGGCUUACCAAGGCAACGAUGCAUAGCCGACCUGAGAGGGUGAUCGGCCACACUGGAACUGAGACACGGUCCAGACUCCUACGGGAGGCAGCAGUAGGGAAUCUUCCGCAAUGGGCGAAAGCCUGACGGAGCAACGCCGCGUGAGUGAUGAAGGUCUUCGGAUCGUAAAACUCUGUUAUUAGGGAAGAACAUAUGUGUAAGUAACUGUGCACAUCUUGACGGUACCUAAUCAGAAAGCCACGGCUAACUACGUG
rnacentral:rRNA from 1 species